GGAGAUGUGCCUCAGUGGUAGAGUGCUUGCUUCCUAUGUAUGAAGCCCUGGGUUCAAUCCCCAGCAUCUCUC
rnacentral:tRNA from 1 species